rnacentral:rRNA from 1 species
CCUACGGGAGGCAGCAGUGGGGAAUAUUGCGCAAUGGGCGAAAGCCUGACGCAGCGACGCCGCGUGAAGGAAGAAGGGUUUCGGCUCGUAAACUUCUAUCAACAGGGACGAAAGAAAUGACGGUACCUGCAAAGGAAGCACCGGCUAACUCCGUGCCAGCAGCCGCGGUAAUACGGAGGGUGCGAGCGUUACUCGGAAUUACUGGGCGUAAAGCGCUCGUAGGCGGUAUGUCAAGUCAAGGGUGAAAUCCCCGCGCUCAACGUGGGAACUGCCUUUGAAACUGGCAAACUGGAGUGUGUGAGAGGAGAGUGGAAUUCCAGGUGUAGGAGUGAAAUCCGUAGAUAUCUGGAGGAACAUCAGUGGCGAAGGCGACUAUCUGGCACAUAACUGACGCUGAGGAGCGAAAGCGUGGGUAGCAAACAGGAUUAGAUACCCGAGUAGUC